rnacentral:misc_RNA from 1 species
AUGAAGAACGUAGCGAAAUGCGAUAAGUAAUGUGAAUUGCAGAAUUCAGUGAAUCAUCGAAUCUUUGAACGCACAUUGCGCCCGCCAGCACUCUGGCGGGCAUGCCUGUUCGAGCGUCAUUUCAACCAUCAAGCCCCCAGGGGCUUGUGCUGGGGCCCUGCGGCUGCCCGCAGGCCCUGAAAACCAGUGGCGGGCUCGCUAGUCACACCGAGCGCAGUAGCACAUCUCGCUCAGGGCGUGCGGCGGGCUCCUGCCGUGAAACCCCCCACUGUAACCCCAAAGGUUGACCUCGGAUCAGGUAGGAAUACCCGCUGAACUUAAGCAUAUCAAUAAGCGGAGGA